rnacentral:rRNA from 1 species
AUACGUAGGGGGCGAGCGUUGUCCGGAAUGAUUGGGCGUAAAGGGCGCGUAGGCGGCCCGGUAAGUCUGGAGUGAAAGUCCUGUUUUUAAGAUGGGAAUUGCUUUGGAUACUGUCGGGCUUGAGUGCAGGAGAGGUAAGUGGAAUUCCCAGUGUAGCGGUGAAAUGCGUAGAGAUUGGGAGGAACACCAGUGGCGAAGGCGACUUACUUGACUGUAACUGACGCUGAGGAGCGAAAGUGUGGGGAGCAAACAGGAUUAGAUACCCUGGUAGUCCACACUGUAAACGAUGAAUGCUAGGUGUAGGGGGUAUCGACCCCUUCUGUGCCGCAGUCAACACAAUAAGCAUUCCGCCUGGGGAGUACGGCCGCAAGGUUGAAACUCAAAUGAAUUGACGGGG